rnacentral:rRNA from 1 species
UACGUAGGGUGCAAGCGUUACUCGGAAUUACUGGGCGUAAAGCGUGCGUAGGUGGUUCGUUAAGUCUGAUGUGAAAGCCCUGGGCUCAACCUGGGAAUGGCAUUGGAAACUGGCGACCUAGAGUGCGGUAGAGGGUAGUGGAAUUCCCGGUGUAGCAGUGAAAUGCGUAGAGAUCGGGAGGAACAUCUGUGGCGAAGGCGACUGCCUGGACCAGCACUGACACUGAGGCACGAAAGCGUGGGUAGCAAACAGG